rnacentral:pre_miRNA from 1 species
AAUGGAAUGGCUGGGUCAUAUGGUAACUCUAUAUUUAACAUUUUAAGGGACUGCCAAACUUUUCCAAACUGACUGCAGCAUUUUACAAUCCCACCAGCAAU